ACUAAAAAAGAAUGAUCUCAGGGAGAAAUUCUUUUGUUGGUAAUUUUUCUUUCAUCUCUCCCUGCAGGCCCGGAGCCCAGGGAUCAUCACAUAUGCCCUCAAAAUAAAGAGCCUUGAGUACUAGAUGAAAAGCACCUCUAU
rnacentral:ncRNA from 1 species